AUUGAACGCUGGCGGCAGGCCUAACACAUGCAAGUCGAACGAGUGGCGGACGGGUGAGUAACGUAUGGGAAACUGCGCGAUGGGGGGGGAAAACUACUGGAAAGGUAGCUAAUACCGCAUAGUAUUGGAGCGGCCGAUAUCGGAUUAGCGAGUUGGUGGGGUAACGGCUCACCAAGGCGACGAUCCGUAGCUGGUCUGAGAGGAUCAUCAGCCACACUGGGACUGAGACACGGCCCAGACUCCGACGGGAGGCAGCAGUGGGGAAUUUUGGACAAUGGGCGAAACCCUGAUCCAGCCAUCCCGCGUGUGCGAUGAAGGCCUUCGGGUUGUAAAGCACUUUUGGCAGGAAAGCGGUACCUGCAGAAUAAGCACCGGCUAACUACGUGCCAGCAGCCGCGGUAAUUC
rnacentral:rRNA from 1 species